AUACGUAGGGGGCGAGCGUUGUCCGGAAUGAUUGGGCGUAAAGGGCGCGUAGGCGGCUUUGCAAGUCAGUAGUGGAAGUCCAUUUUUCAAGGAUGGAAGUGCUACAGAAACUGCGGAGCUUGAGUGCAGGAGAGGUUAUCGGAAUUCCCGGUGUAGCGGGGAAAUGCGUAGAGAUCGGGAGGAACACCAGUGGCGAAGGCGGGUAACUGGACUGCAACUGACGCUGAGGCGCGAAAGUGUGGGGAGCAAACAGGAUUAGAUACCCUGGUAGUCCACACUGUAAACGAUGAAUGCUAGGUGUAGGAGGUAUCGACCCCUUCUGUGCCGCAGUAAACACAGUAAGCAUUCCGCCUGGGGAGUACGGUCGCAAGAUUAAAACUCAAAUGAAUUGGCGGGG
rnacentral:rRNA from 1 species